AUUUGAAAUCUUUUUAAUUAAAAUCUAAAUUUUGGAAAAGUAUUUCUCUUUACAAAAAUUAUUAUAUUCUCUUCCUCUUUCGAAAAACUUAAUUGUUCGAGCUUAUGGCAACUACUGAAAUAAAUGGGUAUGGUGAAGGUCAAUCUACCACUAGGCUACCUUUGUUUGAUGGAAAUAAUUAUGCAUGGUGGAAAACUAGGAUGAGAAUUUAUUUGAUUUCUAUUGACUAUAAUAUAUGGAAAAUUAUUUUUAAUGGUCCUUUAAUUCCUACUAAGAUAGUUGAUAAUAAAGAUAUUCCUAAGGAAGAAAAAGAGUUUAAUGAUGAAGAUAAAAAGAAGUUUUCUAUUAAUGCUAAAGCCAUGAACUAUCUGUUUUGUGUUUUAUGUCCUGAUUAGUUUAAUCGAGUCUCUGCAUGUAAUUCUGCUAAAGAAAUUUGGGAUAUGCUUGUAUUAACUCAUGAAGGAACUAAUCAAGUUAAAGAGUCAAAGAUUAACAUGUUAGUUCAUAAUUAUGAAUUGUUUAAAAUGGAUGCAAAUGAAACUAUAUAUGAAAUGUUUAUUAGGUUCACGAAUAUUGUUAAUGCUUUGAAGGGAUUAGGAAAAUCUUAUACCACCUCUGAAAAUGUGAGAAAAAUUCUUAGAUCAUUGCCUAAGAGUUGGGAAGCUAAGGUGAUGGCAAUCCAAGAAGCAAAAGACCUCUCAAAACUUCCACUAGAGGAGCUCGUUGGAUCUUUCAUGGCACAUGAGAUAAUCAUGAAGGCCAAUGUGGAAGAAGAUGUAAAAAAGAAGAAGAGCCUAGAAUUAAAGUCCACUCAAGUUCAAGAGGACUGAAAUUGAAGCUGAACUAAAUGAUGAGGAGUCCGCUUACUUGACCAAGAAGUUCAAAAAGCAUUUUAGGAAAAGAAAUUUCUCAAAGAAAGUCAACAAUCAAGAAGGCAAAGGAGAGAAGAGCAACAGAGAUACAAUCAUCUGUUAUGAAUGCAAAAAGCCCAGACACGUGAAGUGGGACUGUCCUCAAAGAAAAGCCAUUUCAAAGAAGAGCAGAAAGGCCAUGAAAGCUACUUGGGAUGAAAGCGAUGAAAGCAAAUCUGAAAUCGAGGAAGAAGUAGCAAAUUUGUGCGUUAUGGCUUUUGGAGACGACGACGACGAUGACGACGAUAAGAUUAUUGUUUAUACCAAAACUUAUACUACGACAGAUGAGAUGAGGUACAAAGAAGAUCGAUUAGUAGGGCUUGAUGUGACCCAAGUGCUUGAAGAAUGAAGAAUGCUUGAUGAGGAUAUCCCUGAAGGUGGUGAUGUUGGGGCUGGUUGACACUCUUCUGACCAACUUCCCCCAACGUUGAAUUUGAGGGGUUUGAUCACGAUGAGGCAACUGUGAGACAUGGUGAUCAUGAUGAGCACGAGAUGACUAACUCCCCCCAAAUUCGUCAGUCUCAUACGAAGCAGCCUGACACACAUAAUGCGCAUGUAAUGUGUGAGAAGGAUAUGAGUAAGAAGAGGAAGAUCGAACAUGCAAAGAAGCACACAAAAUCCUCAUAAAGAUAUAAGAAAGGCAAACUUUAUAGAGUUAUAUGUGAGGACCUAUUAGAAAUUCGCAAUGAUUUGGCAAACUCAACGAGCAUGGUUCGUCGGUUGGGUGAGGAGCUAUUAGAAAUUUGCAAGCUUUGCAUCCAGAGUUUAGGCAAGAUAAUAAUUGAUGACCCUAAUGAUGACGCUAAUGAUGACCACGAUGAUGGCGAAGGUAAUAAUGGAGGGACCUAUCAUGAUCAUGGUGAUGUGGUGACCAAAUAGUUGUGGUGAUCAAACAAUUGAUGACCAUACAACUGAUGGGGGAGAUGUUAAACGAACCCCCCUCCACGAGCAGUCCAUACCUAUUAAUGAUGAACAACCCAUGCAACCAUCCAUAGAACUGUUGAGGGCUGCACAGUCGAUGGAGAUGUUGAGGGCUGAACCAUCAAUGAACCGCUCGUAGUUGUUGAAAAUGUAACAAUUGAAGUACGAACAGUCGUUGAACCAUCAAUUGGACCAAUCGUCAACGAACAAUUGGACUGAUCGUCGAUGAAGGUCAACUUCCUGAACAACCAUUCAAUGUACAGACCCAUUUCGACUUGAAUUCUCCGAUUGAUUUACAAGUUUAUGUUGAAGGGAGUGCAACACAAGAAGAGGUCACUAAAAAAGGAGGAAGUUGAACACCCUGAGCGUCGAAAAAGGAAGAAGCCAGAAAAGUUUACAUCCGAAGAGGUAAAAAGGGCAAAAAAAAGAGAUUGAGUCUCGAAAAACUCAACCAAAUCAAGAUGUCCUUAGACAACCCCAACCACCUCCAAAUGAGCCUCACCCACUUGCAAGGGAAUUGAAACCACUCAAAGGUGUUAUAAAUCCGAACCCAUUCGUCCCGGUCCUUAACUUUCCCACUAGGAUGGUUAGAUCUCCCAAUCCCAGAUAUUCUAUGGUCAACAUACAAGACAUGAAGAGCCAAUCUAAAAACAAAAAACGAAGACCGAAUAGUGGUGUAUACCUUCCAGACUAAGGAUUUCUUCAAAAUACUCUAGAAGAACAUAUGGGUGCUUGAGAAUGUGAAUAUUUCUAAUUCCGAUUAAUAGUUCAUCGCUCAUAUAAUCAUUAAGCGAUCAUGUUGGUAAUCAUAAAAGAUCGUUUACGCAAUGUUAAACGAUCGUACACAAUUAUCUACACGAUCGUAUACGAUUAUCUACAUGGUUGCAUACGAUUAUCUACACGAUCGUUUAAAGUUCACUACAAGAUCAUAUAUGAUUAUCUAAUUGAUCGUACACGAUUAUUUGCAUGAUCGUUUAGAGCUCACUACACGAUCAUUUAUAAUUAACGACACGACCAUUUAUAAUUUACUACAUGAUCGUUUAGAACUAACUACACCGUUAAUUGUUUGUAUUAGGAUAUGAAUGUUCUAGUUAUGGACGUGCAUCAGAAGCUGCAUUCGAGACCUAACCUCUGCCAAUAGCUAUUCACAGUGGUGGAUUUGAGCUUCAUGGUACGGAUUAUACAAUUUUAGUUAUAGUUCGAAACGUGGUUAUAAAUACCGCAAUAUUUUUCUUUAAGAUGUCAUCGUGGAAUCAGAAGGUAUUUCAGCAAAUAUUCGUGUAGAUGGUUUGGUAAUGGAGGAUGGAAACGUGGCACUCUAGACGAAUCAAGGGGCACAUAUGAAGCACUGGGCGAACAAUAAAUUCUUUCUUGACUAUGUGCUUGGUGUAAAUGAGGAGUACAAACUUGCAUGGGAAGAAGUGUAAUUCGUCUUCAGGACAAUCAACGUUAGACAACACUGACUGAUGGUUGCCAUCGACCUAGUAACGGCAAGAUAAAGGUCUUCGACUCCAUGCCAAACUACAUCUAUGAUGACAUCAUGAAUGAUUAUAUGCAACGGGUGGCCAGAUCAAUAUUGUCCAUUUGAUAGCCGUUGGUCAUGAUCAAGGUCAUCCAAACUUCAAUUAUAGUCUGUGGGAAGUGAAAUGAUCAAAAGUCGUCCUACAAAUGGGCAAAUCUCUAGAUUAUGGUAUUUUUUGUGCAAAAUUCAUUAAAUAUCUUGUAACAAGAAAAGAUAACAGUAGUUUACAAUAAGAAAAUAUGCCACUAUUUAGAAAACAAUAUGUUACCUAA